UCUGCUGCUUUAACUGUUGGAGUAAAGGGUUUGUUUGGUUGAGUGAAUGUGACAUUAGGGGGGGCCAUGGUGACUGCCGGCCCUCCCUAGAAGUUCAGUGUGCCCCCAUUUAGGUCUAACUGGCAGCCUGUGCUCCUAAGGAAGUCCAACCCCAGAAUACAAGGGUCCUGUACAGCCGCCACCCACACGGGAUGACGCACAGUCCUGCCCCCUACUGUCAGAGUCAUUAUUCCCUUCCCUUUCAUGGGUGCCAGCUCACCUGUGACUGUGCGGAGCUGCACAGUUGUGGGCUCACACUGAGUCCAACCUGGCACAAUAUUUGGCCUCACCAGGGUUACUGUGGACCCAGUGUCCACCAGGGCGGAGCAGGGCGCCCCCUCCACAGUGACAGGGACAUGACAAAAGUCCCCAACACAGGUCCGGCCCACCACAACAACAGGCUCCAUCCGCUUGCCCUCGUCUGCUUCUGGGGGAAGUGGAGCCUUGCUUCCCCGUCUGUGCCGGUGGGCUCCUCCUGACGAUGAUGGUGGUUGGGAUAGAAAGCCAGGGGUCCGCACUACCCGGUCUAUGUGGAUCCCGAGCCGUUUCCCUGAGCUCUGGGGGACAUGGGGCAAUCCCGACGCAAAUGGCCUGGCUGGCCACAACCCCAGCAGACCCUGGGACCAGGGUGUGUGUUUUGUGCCGCCUGUAGCGACACAGCACGGAUGAGUUAAGUAAUUUCACCCACCCAUGCAGGCUUUCCCAGCUCUGGGCUGCUCUGCCCCCCAGCCCACACAGAGGGUCUGUCUCCUUGCACCCCCACCAAAGCCCCAGCCCACACCAGCUCCCUCUCACAAGCCAUCUCCAAGGCUAUCUGCAAUGACUCAGGAUGAGCCAGCUGGGUCUGUAUGCGCAGCUCCGUAGGAGAGAGCGCCUGUAUGAACUGGUCCCGUGCUAGCUCGCUCUGCACGGAGGGGGGCAUGCCCGCCGAGAGAGCCUCUCAAUGUCAUUAGCUAGCACCCGUAGAGGCUCUCCAGGCUGCCUGCGUCUAUUAGUCAGUUCGGAGCGCAGCAGCCCGGGCUGUACACACUGUCCAUAGCGCCUCCUCAGUGCUCCCACUAAAGCACCAUAAUCACGUCUGUCAUCGGGGCUAAUCAAUAGCAAACAGGCCAGAGCAUCAUCCGGGAGGCCUAAAGUCAACUGCAGUGUCCUAUCUUCAUUCGAGCACCCCCUAAAAUGAGCUAACAGUUCAAACUGAGCAUGAAAAGCUUCCCAAUCUGCCUUACCGGAAUACUUCGGGGUCUUAACAGAUACGGACGCAACCGGGAACUGGGCGCCACCAUGUUUGUUUACAUCCUGAGCCCUAGAUUCCUCGUCCCGCCGCAUCGACGUCACCCCUUCGGUCCGCCCACCAGAAUCCGUGCGAAGCACAGUUGACGAAGCACUCAUGCCCGCUUCAGCCGCCAUCACUCUAACGUCCUCCCUCAAGCGGCCUCUGGACUCCGACGCCCUGGCGAUCUCCUCAGCCAGAUCCUCCGAAGUCCAUGCACACGCACCUCCUUGGCCAUAAUCGUCCCCUACAUCCACCUUCACUUUCGGAUUCCCUCGAAGCAUUUUCAACCCCUGUUCUCACCUACGGUAGCUAGCCACAGAAGUCAGCUAGCUAGCUGGCUAACCUUUAUCAACGGUUUUACUUCUGACACCAAUGUAAUGAAACAGGCAGGGAGCAGGUCUCGAACCCUCAACCUUCUUGCCCGAAGUCCACCGCACAAUCGACUGUGACGCAAAAGCAUGCUCGAGCGGCAGAGUCGAUAUCGCUUAUAAAUCGCUUAUAAACCCAGGGUCGUUACAAUACAUUUAUUAAACAUAAGAAUGAGUGUGAGUUGUCACAACCCAGCUCGUGGGAAGUGACAAAGAGCUCUUAUAGGACCAAGGGACAAAUAAUAAUAAUAAUUUUGGUCUUUAUUUAGCCAUCUUAUAUAUCAAAACCUUAUUCACAAUUUCUGAUGAACAAAUAACUCACCACAGGUUAAUGAGAAGGGUGUGCUUGAAAGGAUGCACAUAACUCUGCAAUGUUGGGUUGUAUUGGAGAGAGUCUCAGUCUUAAAUUAUUUUCCACACACAGUCUGUGCCUGUAUUUAGUUGAAAUUUCGAUAAGGCUCUCUUGUUCAGAUAUCGGUAAGUGGACUGGAGGCAGUGCAUGACAGGGAGGGAUAAUGAAUCCAGUUGUUUGUGUCGUCCGUUUCGGGAAAGUACCUGCGUAAUUGCGCACCCAGCUCACUUAGGUGCUUCACUAUAUCACAUUUGACACUGUCCGUAAGCUUGAGUUAAUUUGCACACAAAAAAAAUCCUACAAUGAUGGAAAUACCUGUGUGUUGUCCUUGUUAAUGCAGACAGAGAAGAGCUCCAACUUCUUAAUCAGCCUCAAUUUUGUCCCGCACAUUGAAUAUAGUUGCGGAGAGUCCCUGUAAUCCUAGAUACAGAUCAUUCAGGCAAGAAAAAACAUCACCCAUGCCAGCCGUGUGAGAAACUCGUCAUCAUGUAAGUAGUCAGACAAGUGAUAAUGAUGGUCAGUAAAGAAAACUUUAAGCUCGUUUCUCAAUUAAAAAAAAUACUGCCUGCAUGCCUGUUACCACUCCACUAUGUCUCAAUGUCAAUGUCAAGUCCAUUUGAUGUCACAAAGCUGUCCAGUACUUUAAAAAUAUCCUCUCCUGUUGUCCUGGUUUCCAGUGGUUUUCAGAAGAGGAUGUCUUCCUUAAUUGACCCCCAUAAACGUAACGGACAUAUACCAGGAGCUGUGCCAGGCCAAACGUCUGUUGACUCAUCCAGCUGUAACGCAUAGAAUUCACUGGCUGUAUGCAAAGCAGUAAUUGUUUCAAAACAUCUCCUGCCAUGUAACUGAUGCGCCGUGAAACAGUGUUGUUUGAUGGAGGCCUUGUCUGUAUGGUUUUUUGGACCUUUUCCCCCAGCAUUGUCCCAGCCAUAUCCGCGGCAGCAGGAAGAAUUAUGUCCUCCACAAUAGUAUGGGGCUUGCCUGUCCUAGCCACUCGGUAGCUAACCAUAUAAGAUGCUUCUAGCCCCUUCUUAUUAAUGGUAUCUGUUGCUUUUAUACAUGUCUUACUACUCAAACUCAAAAAACUCCCGUGGCUUAUUUUUCAAAUUGGCAUGUUUCGUCUCGUCUGCCGCAAGAGUGAAGAUUUCAUUUUAAUUUGGCUUACCCCAGUUUGGGAAUAGGACAGGCAAGGUAAUUCAAAAUAAUCGAUGCAGCUAUGGUGGUAGUUAACUCAUGUCUGAAUCGGACUAACACAGUGAACUGGGAACAAACAGUGUCACCCAGCCUGAAUCUAAUCCAAUCUGGAGCUUCGGUCAGUCUACAUCUGUAAAGCAUAGAAUUAGGGUUUCCACUAGUUACAGGCAGAAAGCCAAAAUUGUCUAUAUCAUAAAAAAUGAAUGAUACUUUUUUAUUUAUUUUAUUUUUAUCUUUAUUAAGGUUAGGCAUACGGUUAGUGGUGUGAUUAAGGUUAGGUUUAAAAUCACAUUUUAAGAAGAUAGAUUGUAGAAAUAGGCAGACUUUAUGACUUUGUGGUUGAGGUAGCUAGAGACGACCUAGAGUUAGCUUGACCCGAGUUACUGCCCUGAUGACACAGACCACUUCAUUAACAAUGGUAAUGUGUUUUUUUAAAUGUUUUAAUUUAUAAUUUAAAAAAAAAUGUUGCCCCCUUUUCUCCCCAAUUUCGUGGUAUCCAAUUGUUUGUAGUUACUAUCUUGUCUCAUCGCUCCAACUCCCGUACUGGCUGGGGAGAGACGAAGGUCGAAAGCAAUGCGUCCUCCGGAACACAACCCAACCAAGCCACACUGCUUCUUAACACAGCAUGCAUCCAACCCGGAAGCCAGCCGCACCAAUGUGUUGGAGGAAACACCGUGCACUUGUGCGCACUGCGCCCGGCCCGGCACAGGAGUCGCUAGUGCGCGAUGAGACAAGGAUAUCCCUACCGGCCAAACCCUCCCUAACCCGGACAACGCUAGGCCAAUUGUGCUUCGCCCCACGGACCUCCCGGUCGCGGCCGGCUGCCACCUGGGAGGUGUUUUAUGUAAAAAGUUUUUAUAAAAAAUUACUGGAUUUGAUAAACUAGUGGGUUAAUUACCCACUCAAGAAGCUACAAGUAGUAAUUUUGGAUGUGAAGUGAAUUGUCAAAAAGCUUUGUCCAAAAUGCAAUUUACCACUUGGCUGUCUAUUGUAACACCCUGUCACAGGCCCUCCCAGUAGUCACCACCUCAUAAGAUGAGGAAGUACAUUGUUUAUAAGGAUUCCCUGCUGCAGUUGUUUGAGAGAUGUCCAGUUUGCAGAAAACAUGCAACAUAGAGAAGACCAAGAAGGGGAUCCUCAGCUGUGAGCAUUCCUAUAAAUGGAACAGGGAGGACACUUGAAUCAGGUUGGUGCUUUGACCUGAUCAAAGGUCAAAACAGUUUUUUGAGUUUUGUCCCAAUUCACCUUCAUAACCGAGCCUGGUGGAACCAGCCUGAUUGCUGCGUUGACCAUUCUAUUCCACUUCACAUAUCAUGAUAUCUGAAGUGAAAUUGAAAGCUGAAUGCAGUAAUCAAUGCUCUGUGUGUGUGUUUGGGUGUGACCGACCAGUAUCUUUGAUGAGGGGCCAGGAGCUGAUCUAUGCUUCCCUUCCCAUCAAUGGGGCACUGGCAAAGACCUUACCUCCAGCCUUACCUCUUGUCUGCUCACCAACGAUCGUCGAUGGGGAGACCAGAAUUAGAUACAUCUAUGGAGCCAGCACUUGGAGACUUGCAAGAUGAUGUGAUGGAGUCCUGACCAACAGACAGGCUUGAUACUGACGUCUCUGAAUGGAGAGACCUGGCACUCAACACAUCCACCAUGUGGGACAGAAGGUGAUUACUAAUAAUACAGUAUGUUCAGUAUUUUCAUUCCAUGUGUCACUGAUAAAUGUAUUUUAUAGAAAUAGAUCAUGCCUCUCCCUGAACAGCAGGAGGCAGAUUGUACAGUUAACUUUUCUAUCAGUUCUUGACUACGGUGACACCAUUUAUCGGAAUGCAGCAGCCAUUACUCUUAAACCUUUGGAUGCCGUCUACCAUAACGCCCUUUGCUUUGUCACAGGUGAUAGUUUUAAUACUCAUCACUGCAUCCUGUAUCAAAAAGUUGGCUGGUCCUCAUAAAAUGUUCGUAUAUCACUCAAUUACUCCCUUUUUGUUUACAAAGCUCUACUAUGCAAGCUUCUGACUUACCUAACUUCGUUGUUUAAGUAUAAAAACAUGAGUUACCAUACCUGCUCACGGGGUUGGUUAACUCUUGAGAUUCCUCGGGUCUCCACCGAACUAGGUAAAUCUACUUUUAGGUUUAACGCUCCACAUUUUUGGAGUCAUUUACAAAAUUCAUUACAUUUGGAUUCCCUGGUUCUACUAAGGCAGUUUAAAACCCUAAUGAUGAGUUCACCGACGUGUGCAAUUGUUUUGAUUGAUUGACUUUAAUAAUUUGUUUGACGCCUGUGAUAUUUGUGAUGUCCUAACGUACUUGUUAUGAUAUCUUGUAUCUUGUAGUUGUAUCUUUUAUUUUAUGUUCUCGGAGCACCAUUUAAAAUGAGACCCUGGGCUCAUCUGAUUAAAUAAAAGUUAAUCAAAAAUAAAAUAACUCUGCCUUAACUCAGCCUACUUUUGCCAGGCGCCAGCCUCAUCUCUCUUUAUCUGACCUGUUCAAACUUCAACAUACAGUGCAUUCGGAAAGUAUUCAGACCCCUUGACUUUUUCCACAUUUUGUUACGUUACAGCCUUAUUCGAACAUUUGUCUCAUAGCAAAGGAUCUGAAUACUUAUGUAAAUAAGAUAUUGUAGUUUUUUUGUUUUUUUAUCCUAAAAGCCUGUUUUUGCUUUGUCAUUAUGGUUUACUGUGUGUAGAUUGAUGAGGAAACACACAAAUAAAAAAACUGAAAUGCCUUAUUUACAUAAGUAUUCAGAUCCUUUGCUAUGAGACUUAAAAUUGAAUUUAGAUGCAUCUUGUUUCCAUUGAUCAUCCUUGAGAUGUUUCUGCAACUUCAUUGGAGUCCACCUGUGGUAAAUUCAAUUGAUUGGACAUGAUUUGGAAAGGCACACAACUGUCUAUAUAAGGUCCCACAGUUGACUGCAUGUCAGAGCAAAAACCAAGCCAUGAGGUCGAAGGAAAUGUCCGUAGAGCUCCUAGACAGGAUUGUGUCGAGGCACAGAUCUGGGGAAGGGUAUCAAAACAUUUCUGCAGCAUUGAAGGUCCCCAAGAACACAGUGGCCUCCAUCAUUCUUAAAUGGAAGAAGUUUGGAACCACCAAGACACUUCCUAGAGCUGGCUGCCCGGCCAAACUGAGCAAUCGGGGGAGAAGGGCGAUGGUCAUUGACAGAGCUCCAGAGUUCCUCUGUGGAGGUGGGAGAACCUUCCAGAAGGACAACCAUCUCUGCAGCACUCCACCAAUCAGGCCUUUAUGGUAGUGUGGCCAGACGGAAGCUACUCCUCAAUAAAAGGCACAUGACAGUCCGUUUGGAGUUGCCAAAAGGCACCUAAACGCAUCUCUCAGACCAUGAGGAACAAGAUUCUCUGGUCUGAUGAAACCAAGAUUGAACUCUUUGGCCUGUAUGCCAAACGUCACGUCUGGAGGAAACCUAGCACCAUCCCUACAGUGAAGCAUGGUGGUGGAAGCCUCAUGCUGUGGGGAUGUUAUUCAGCGACAGGGACUGGGAGACUAGUCUGAAUCGAGGCAAAGAUGAACGGAGCAAAGUACAGAGAGAUCCUUGAUGAAAACCUGCUCCAUAGCGCUCAGGACCUCAGACUGGGGUGAAGGUUCACCUUCCGACAGGAAAACAACCCUAAGCACACAGCCAAGACAACGCACGAGUGGCUUUGGGACAAGUCUCUGAAUGUCCUUGAGAGGCCCUACCCGAUUGAACAUCAAUUGAGAGACCUGAAAAUAGCUGUGCAGCAAUGCUCCCCAUCCAACCUGACAGAGCUUGAGAGGAUCUGCAGAGAAGAAUAGGAGAGUAUAAGUCCCCAAAUACAGGUGUGCCAAGCUUGUAGCGUCAUACCCAAGAAGACUCGAGGCUGUAAUCGCUGCCAAAGGUGCUUCAACAAAGUACUGAGUAAAGGGUCUGUUAGCAGUCGAUGGUACUCUUCAAUAACACAGACCCCAAAGCGAAUCAGGGGGAGGAAAAUAGGUUUAUUCAAAGAGGAUAAAUCAUAGAUGUUAUGCUGAGAGGUAGAUGGUAGAGUUUCUUAUAACGCUUCAAAUGGUCCCACGUUUCCAUACCCACUUCUCUGGGAUAUUUUAAAGUUUUUGACCAUUCAUCCAACUCUUUUGGAGAUGCUGAUUUAUGUGUGAUUACUGUCACCGGGGGUUUGUCUUUACCACCUUUUACAGCCUGUGUUCUGGUUGGCCUAAGACAUCGUUCGUCACAGGUGUCAGUAUCUGUUGACUCAAAGCCAGGCAGUGCUGACCAGAUGCUUGAAACCCGAUUAUCCUUUCGCAACUCAGCCUGAGGGUGGAUUGAAGGAACAAAGGGUCCCCCACAUGUUGGAGCCAAUUCUGGUUUUACGACCCUUGCCUGUAAUUGUUGAAUUUCUUCUUUCAAGGUUUUGAUCUGUCCUCCAAGAGCUUUCAAACUUUCUUUAUCUCUCUGCAAUGUCCUGUCAUGAUUCUCCAGAAAGAAUUUCUCAUCCCGUUUUCUUACUUCGGCUAAAACAGUUAAAGACCAUCGUGUCUUUGUCAAGGAAUUAGACAUUCUCUGUAUUUUUCCAAGCUUUUUGUAUAUCAGACAGAUUCCAUAUUCCAUCUUUGUCAACUAUGACAAAAUAUUUCUUUAUUAUCUCUUGCCUGCACUUCUCUACUUUGAAAUGGUUCUUCAUAUCACUAGACAGUGAAUUAAAAAUAUUUUUCAUGCUCACAUCCGAAGGAGCUGUUCCGCCCUUUUCCAGAGUGGUUUUCUCACUUAACAAUGACAUUACAUUAACUUCAAAAAUUGUAUAAUAUAUAUCUCUAUGUUUCUAUAUUUAUUUACCCCCACUCAAAAAAUUAUAUAUAUUUUAAUAUAGAAAGGACUCCAAACUUUUAAUAGAGAACAAAGGACUUGAACUUUAUACAUCACAGAUACGUAUCACUCAUUGCAUGCACUAAUUUUGACCUGAUUUGGUUCUUUUAAAAUGCUAUUGGUCUAGACUCACCCAGCAACUAUGCCAUCAAUCAGGAGAUUGAGAGUUGACUCCCCAAAGUGGGUUGCGCGCAGCCUUCUCUCUUUCCUCUGGAUCAACACAGUUGAUAUGUUUUUCUUGUUGUUCAGACCAAUUCAUCCGGGUCACGGCACCAAGUGUUAGCAGUUGAUGUUAUUCUUCAAUAACACAGACCCCAAAGCAAAUCAGGCGGAGGAAAAUAGGUUUAUUCAAAUAGGACAAAUCAUGCUUGGAAGUAGAUGGUCAUUCUCCCCUGUCCUCAGUGAUGCUCUCCUGAGACUCUCUCCACAGAACAAAGAGACAGCAUGUAGUUUCAUAACCCAGCCCUAGCCUGUGGUUGACCAAUUAGAAUUCCUUGCAAUAAAACUAAGCCAACGGCCAAAUAACAAGUAUCCUAUUUCAGGUUGGACCAAUGAGAACGUGCCACACGUAGCAAUAAGUUUUGGACUGUCAUUCCUAGCAGAUGUUGAACUGAAAACCAACUAUUUCCAUUGAUAAUUCCCUAUUACAGAAAAAACACUUUCCAUUGGUAAUUCCCUAUUACAGAAAAAACACUUUCCAUUGAUAAUUCCCUAUUACAGAAAAAACACUAUUUCCAUUGAUCGUUAUUAUUCUAUUGACUUCUCGUCGUCUGUCUCUGCGUUGUGUAUUUAUCUUCUAAAUAUUCUUAUAUGUUUGAAUAUUUCCAUAAAUGCAAUAUUUAAAAAAAAAAAUAAUAAUUAUGGUGUAAAAAUGUCUUAACCUGUUUUUGCUUUGUCAUUAUGGGGUAUUGUGUGUAGAUUGAUGGGAGGGGAUAAAAAAACAAACAUUUUAGAAUAAGGCUGUGGAAAAAGUCAAGGGGUCUGAAUACUUUCCGAAUGCAUUGUAGUACCUGUUUAUGUGUCAGAUAGAUAUGAUCUAUCCUAACUGCCAUUGGAAAUAGAACAGUGACUCUUCACUGACAUUUUCAACCUCUCCCUGACCCAGUCUGUAAUACCCACAUGUUUCAAGCAGACCACCAUAGUCCCUGUUCCCAAGAACGCAAAGGUAACCUGUCAAAAUGACUAUCACCCCGUAGCACUCAUAUCUGUAGCCAUGAAAUGCUUUUAAAGUCAUGGCACGAUAUGUAUUGAUAUUGGAUGUAGGCUGUGUGCUGUUUUUAAAUGUUUGCAGUUCGGUCCUUGAGCUGUUCUUGUCUAUUAAUGUUCUGUAUUAUAUCAUGUUUUGUGCGGACCCCAAGAAGACUACACUACGUGACCGAAAGUAUGUGGCCACCUGCUCGUCAAACAGCUAAUUCCAAAAUCAUAGGCAUUAAUAUGGAGUUGGUCUCUACUUUGCUGCUAUAACAGCCCCCACUCUUCUGGGAAGGCUUUCUAGAAAACCAUGUGAUUGCUGUAUUUGAUACCAUUCCACUGAUUCUGCUCCAGUCAUUACCAUGAGCCUGUUCUCCCCAAUUAAGGUGCCACCAACCUCCUGUGUUCCAGAGGCAGUUUGGAACUCUGUAGUGAGUGCUGCAACCAAGGACAGACCAUUUUUACAUGCUUCAGCGCUCUGCGGUGUCGUUCUGUGAGCUUGUGUGGCCUACCACUUCGCGGCUGAGCCGUUGUUGCUCCUAGACAUUUUUACUUCACAAUAACAGUAUUUACAGUUGACCGGGGCAGCUCUAGCAGGGCAGAAAAUUGAUGAACUGACUUGUUGGAAAGGUGGCAUCCUAUGACGGUGCCACGUUGAAAGUCACUGAGCUCUUCAGUAAGGCCAAUGUUUGUGUAUAGAGAUUGCAUGGCUGUGUGCUUGAUUUUAUACACCUGUCAGCAAAGGGUGUGGUUAAAAUAGCCAAAUCCACUCAUUUCAAGAGGUGUCCACAUACUUUUGUAUAUACAGUGUAGCUGCUGCUUUCUCAAUAGCUAAAGGGAAUACCAAACACCGUCAUCCCCAACACCAUAUAAUUAAUUUGUUCUUGCCUUUGCAAAUUAUUUCCUUGCAAUAUUGUUAAUUUUGUCCUCAAUACUUUUUGAUUAAAGGUUUGUUAUUAAUCUAAUUGUCA